UACGGGGGGGGCAAGCGUUGUUCGGAAUUACUGGGCGUAAAGGGCUCGUAGGCGGCCAACUAAGUCAGACGUGAAAUCCCUCGGCUUAACCGGGGAACUGCGUCUGAUACUGGAUGGCUUGAGGUUGGGAGAGGGAUGCGGAAUUCCAGGUGUAGCGGUGAAAUGCGCAGAUAUCAGGAGGAACACCCGUGGCGAAAGCGGCUCUCUGGGACGGUACUGACGCUGAGACGCGAAAGCGUGGGAGCAAACAGG
rnacentral:rRNA from 1 species